rnacentral:tRNA from 1 species
AAGUAAUGAAGUAAAAUUUACAUUUAGUUUCGACCUAAAAUUAGAGCCAGACUCCUUACUUA